rnacentral:rRNA from 1 species
GACGUUAGUCUGCAGAAGAAGCACCGGCUAACUCCGUGCCAGCAGCCGCGGUAAUACGGAGGGUGCGAGCGUUAAUCGGAAGUUACUGGGCGUAAAGCGCAUGCAGGUGGUUUGUUAAGUCAGAUGUGAAAGCCCGGGGCUCAACCUCGGAAUUGCAUUUUGAAAACUGGCAAACUAGAGUACUGUAGAGGGGGUAGGAAUUUACUAGGUGUAGCGGUGAAAUAGCGUAGAGAUCUGAAGGAAUACCGGUGGCGAAGGCGGCCCCCCUCGGACAGAUACUGACACUCAGAUGCGAAAGACGUGGGGAGGCAAACAAGGAUUAGAUACCCUCGGUAG